rnacentral:rRNA from 1 species
GACGAACGCUGGCGGCGUGCUUAACGCAUGCAAGUCGAACGGAAAGGCCCUUCGGGGUACUCGAGUGGCGAACGGGUGAGUAACACGUGGGUGAUCUGCCCUGCACUUUGGGAUAAGCCUGGGAAACUGGGUCUAAUACCGAAUAUGAUCAUCGGCUUCAUGGUCGGUGGUGGAAAGCUUUUGCGGUGUGGGAUGGGCCCGCGGCCUAUCAGCUUGUUGGUGGGGUAAUGGCCUACCAAGGCGACGACGGGUAGCCGGCCUGAGAGGGUGACCGGCCACACUGGGACUGAGAUACGGCCCAGACUCCUACGGGAGGCAGCAGUGGGGAAUAUUGCACAAUGGGCGCAAGCCUGAUGCAGCGACGCCGCGUGAGGGAUGACGGCCUUCGGGUUGUAAACCUCUUUCAGCACAGACGAAGCGCAAGUGACGGUAUGUGCAGAAGAAGGACCGGCCAACUACGUG